UUUUCCGCAAUGGGCGAAAGCCUGACGGAGCAAUGCCGCGUGGAGGUGGAAGGCCUACGGGUCGUCAACUUCUUUUCACGGAGAAGAAACAAUGACGGUAUCUGAGGAAUAAGCAUCGGCCACCACUGUGCAACAAGCCGCGGUAAGACAGAGGAUGCAAGCGUUAUCCGGAAUGAUUGGGCGUAAAGCGUCUGUAGGUGGCUUUUCAAGUCCGCCGUCAAAUCCCAGGGCUCAACCCUGGACAGGCGGUGGAAACUACCAAGCUGGAGUACGGUAGGGGCAGAGGGAAUUUCCGGUGGAGCGGUGAAAUGCAUUGAGAUCGGAAAGGACACCAACGGCGAAAGCACUCUGCUGGGCCGACACUGACACUGAGAGACGAAAGCUAGGGGAGCAAAUGGG
rnacentral:rRNA from 1 species